rnacentral:rRNA from 1 species
CUGUCAGUCCAGCAGGUAACAGAGAGAAGCUUGCUUCUCUGCUGACGAGCGGCGGACGGGUGAGUAAUACUUGGGAAUUUGCCUUUAGGCGGGGGACAACCACGGGAAACUGUGGCUAAUACCGCAUAAUGUCUACGGACCAAAGUGGGGGACCUUCGGGCCUCACACCUAAAGAUGAGCCCAAGCGGGAUUAGCUAGUUGGUGGGGUAAAGGCUCACCAAGGCGACGAUCCCUAGCUGUUCUGAGAGGAUGAUCAGCCACACUGGGACUGAGACACGGCCCAGACUCCUACGGGAGGCAGCAGUGGGGAAUAUUGCAGAAUGGGGGAAACCCUGAUGCAGCCAUGCCGCGUGUGUGAAGAAGGGCUUCGGGUUGUGAAGCACUUUCAGCGACGAGGAAGGGUGUUGUGUUAAUAGCGCGUGAGAUUGACGUUAGUCUCAUAUGAAUCACCGGCUAACUGCGUGACUCCACCCGCGGUAAUACU